UAUUAUUAAGUAUAUUUAAUGUACGUCUAACUUCCAAUUAGAAAGACUCAUUUUUGGGAAUAAUAA
rnacentral:tRNA from 1 species